CCUACGGGAGGCAGCAGUGGGGAAUAUUGGACAAUGGGCGAAAGCCUGAUCCAGCCAUGCCGCGUGUGUGAAGAAGGCCUUCGGGUUGUAAAGCACUUUCAGUGGGGAAGAAAGCCUUGGGGCUAAUACCCUCGAGGAAGGACAUCACCCACAGAAGAAGCACCGGCUAACUCCGUGCCAGCAGCCGCGGUAAUACGGAGGGUGCGAGCGUUAAUCGGAAUUACUGGGCGUAAAGCGCGCGUAGGCGGUCUGAUAAGCCGGUUGUGAAAGCCCCGGGCUCAACCUGGGAACGGCAUCCGGAACUGUCAGGCUAGAGUGCAGGAGAGGAAGGUAGAAUUCCCGGUGUAGCGGUGAAAUGCGUAGAGAUCGGGAGGAAUACCAGUGGCGAAGGCGGCCUUCUGGACUGACACUGACGCUGAGGUGCGAAAGCGUGGGUAGCAAACAGGAUUAGAUCCCCUGUAGUC
rnacentral:rRNA from 1 species